rnacentral:rRNA from 1 species
CUACGGGAUGCUCCAGUGAGGAAUAUUGCACAAUGGGGGAAACCCUGAUGCAGCAACGCCGCGUGGAGGAUGACGCAUUUCGGUGUGUAAACUCCUUUUAUGAGUCAAGAAAAUGACGGUAGCUCAUGAAUAAGCACCGGCUAACUCCGUGCCAGCAGCCGCGGUAAUACGGAGGGUGCAAGCGUUACUCGGAAUCACUGGGCGUAAAGGACGCGUAGGCGGGCUUGUAAGUCAGGUGUGAAAUCCUACAGCUUAACUGUAGAACUGCACUUGAAACUACGAGCCUAGAGUAUGGGAGGGGCAGAUGGAAUUAGUGGUGUAGGGGUAAAAUCCGUAGAUAUCACUAGGAAUACCGAAAGCGAAGGCGAUCUGCUGGAACAUUACUGACGCUAAGGCGUGAAAGCGUGAGGAGCAAACGGGAUUAGAUACCCCUGAAGUC